rnacentral:rRNA from 1 species
AUACGUAGGGGGCGAGCGUUGUCCGGAAUGAUUGGGCGUAAAGGGCGCGUAGGCGGCCCGGUAAGUCUGGAGUGAAAGUCCUGUUUUUAAGAUGGGAAUUGCUUUGGAUACUGUCGGGCUUGAGUGCAGGAGAGGUAAGUGGAAUUCCCAGUGUAGCGGUGAAAUGCGUAGAGAUUGGGAGGAACACCAGUGGCGAAGGCGACUUACUGGACUGUAACUGACGCUGAGGCGCGAAAGUGUGGGGAGCAAACAGGAUUAGAUACCCUGGUAGUCCACACUGUAAACGAUGAAUGCUAGGUGUAGGGGGUAUCGACCCCUUCUGUGCCGCAGUCAACACAAUAAGCAU